rfam:Bombyx mori DNA, contig: Bm_scaf6_contig5235, strain: p50T/Dazao, build 2, whole genome shotgun sequence.
UUAACUCAAAUUUGUAUGGAGUCGGAAGGUUUGCCAACGUUUGCCGCUAGGGGCGCUGUUCCAAUUGCAUACAAAUUUGAGUUA